rnacentral:tRNA from 2 species
UUGGCCCCUAGUGUAACGGUAGCACGACAGACUCUGGAUCUGUUUGUCAAGGUUCGAAUCCUUGGGGGCCAGG